GGAGGAGUGGCAGAGCGGUUGAUCGCGGCGGUCUUGAAAACCGUUGAAGGUGCGAGCCUUCCAGGGGUUCAAAUCCCUUCUCCUCCGCCA
rnacentral:tRNA from 1 species